rnacentral:rRNA from 1 species
UACGUAGGGGGCUAGCGUUGUCCGGAUUUAUUGGGCGUAAAGGGCGUGUAGGCGGCCAACUAAGUCAGACGUGAAAUCCCUCGGCUUAACCGGGGAACUGCGUCUGAUACUGGAUGGCUUGAGUUUGGGAGAGGGAUGCGGAAUUCCAGGUGUAGCGGUGAAAUGCGUAGAUAUCUGGAGGAACACCGGUGGCGAAGGCGGCAUCCUGGACCAACACUGACGCUGAGGAGCGAAAGCCAGGGGAGCAAACGGG